CUUCACAGUGACAGCAGGGGAGGCUUGUGAGAGUCCAUCAAGCGCUGGUUUUGUUGUGGGUUUCUCUCUGGUCGCACUUUCACCUCUAUGGGAAGGGAAUGCCUGGACUUCAUUUUACAUGGAUCUCCUGAAUCCCUCCUCCGGGCUCCUGGAGAAUUUGGUGCUAUUUCAAUACUCUUUUCUCACUCUACUUUGUUAUUCCCAUUCUAGUCCUACCUACUUGGCGAGACAGAGGCUCUGAAUCUCGUUCACCCUGCCACGGGGCUUGGCCCCAUCAACGGAAGAACAUGGACUUUUGGCCUUAUGUUCACGGCUGCACCAAAGCCCAGACGUCAGAUCGAAGUGGCCAUGUCUAACCAGCAGGCUUGUGCCUAGAGACACACGAGGCUGAUGUUGCUGAAGCCAAACUUACAGGUUUCUGCUAUGGAAGGAGCCUCUUGUGCCAACUGCUACCUAUGCCUUGGCCUUGGCUGCCAUUUGCUCUUUGGCUAAAAUGCCUGAAAUUCUGCCCAGUCCACCUACCUGCUGAAACUAACACUGUUAACCAUUGCACCGAGCCAGCCAUUGUGUGAAUUGUUUUAAAUGCUUUAUCUCGAAUAAUCAACAUAACAACCCUGUGAGGUGGAUCUGUGCUCUCCCUUCCCCAGGGCUUGCUUUGGGCUUGCGUGAAAGGAGAGCAGAUGCCCAGAUGGUCCCGGUUUAAGAAAAGGGAUGAGCACCGUCCAGGAAUGGAGCCUCCUGGUGACAGCAAAUUAGAAACAGCAGAUGGAGGGUGAGACUGUUCUGUUCCGGAUGGAAGAAGCUGUCUAAGGAAUCAGCAAGGUGAAAAAAAAAGUUAUAUUUAGGGGCUGGCCACAUGGCGUUGUGGUUGAGUUCACGUACUCUGCUUCAGUGGCCCAGCGUUCGCAGGUUCGGAUCCCAGGCACAGACCUACACACCACUCAUCAAGCCAUGCUGUGGUGGUGUCCCAUAUACAAAAUAGAGGAAGAUUGGCACAGAUGUUAGCUCCGGGACAAUCUUCCUCACCAAAAAACAAAGUCGCAUUUAAAUUUCCUUUUACAAGUCUCGUGUCCUGAACACGUGACCGAGCUACAGAAGAGGUAUCAAAUAUUCAAAAAUAUUUGCAGAAGUACAGCAUGGUGAUGAAGAAUAUGGACUGUAGCAUCAGGCAGAGUAGAGUCCAAACCCCAACACUUCCUAGCUAUGCUUAGCUGCUCUGAGCCUCAACUUCUUAAUCAGUGAAAUGGGUGUAAUUGUAUAGGCUUCAUGAAUUACUAAUACACUGUUUUGUACAGUGCUUUGUGCAGGACUCUUGCUGGUAAGGCUGCAAUACACACAAGCUACUAAUCAGCGUCAUCAUCAUCAUCAUCAUCAUCAUCUUUUUGAAAGAUUUUUAUAGUUUCAAAUUUUCUUAAUACUGAGGUUUCUUUGGUGACCUUGAAGGCUAAUGUUUGUUCAUGCCUUCAUUUAUUCAACAAAUAUUUACAGAGUUACUGCUGUAUGUCAGGCACUGUGCUAAGCUCUGUAAAGUUUGGAUGAGAGAAUGUUCGUAGGAGAUCAUUCCUGUAAUGCGAGUAAAGCACUCAUUCUUUCUCACGGUCCUUUGUCAAAUUUCAGGCACCCUAAAUCAGCAAUUAAUCUGAAUCCUCUAUUAAAUUCAAAAGGCAAAUGUGAUUACAUGUAAGAAAAGGGUUAGGUACUGGUAUCUUCUUUUAUCUAUCACUAAAUUAUUCUGCUCUGCUUUUUUUUUUUCCCAAAAGAGAUUUGAGGCAGCAUAAAAUAGAACCGUCAAAAUAAGGAAGGCAGAUCAAGAGCGAUAAAAUGUAAUGGGGACCUUAGCCGAUCCAGAUACACAGUGUAAGGACAUCUAUGGCGAUAAUGCACAAAACUUGGAACUAAGCUUCCUAGCAGUCAAGGGGAAAAUGGAAAAGAGUGAGUUAAAGGUCAUAUUGGACAAUAACUAAAAGUGAACCAGCUCAUCGAUAAAAGUCACUUCUUUUUCCGUCAAUGGUAAAUGCAGAGAGGUUAUGAGAUAAAACUUUAAGGAACAUUGAAGUGAAAAGUACUCCCGAAAUAAAACUGUUACAAAAGAAAUAAGAGCGUUCUUUGUGUGGCUGUCUCCUGCACCAAGAAAUGACAGGUGCUGAUGCAUUUGGAUGAUGAAUUAAAGCAUCACAGUCAAGUCACGAGGCUUUCUGCUGCUCUGUAUCGUGUAGGAACAGCUUGAAGAGACUCCAGGGAAAUGAAGUGUUUGCAUUGUCUAUGACUGUUUCCUUUCAGGUAUCAAUUAUCUUAACUGGGCUUUUGGCAAGGGCUAGCAAGCAGAAAAUUGUAGAUCCAAUUAUAGAUCAGAUAUCUUUUUUUUGUG